AGUGCAAGGGCAGUCAGACUGCCUCAGACACAACACCCAGAAAUCUUCUAAAGCAGCUGUUCAUGUGCCGGCACGAGGCAACCAACUCACGGAGGCAUACCAAGUACCUAUGACAAGUAAGACCCGAGGAGAGGACCAGGCAGCAGCGAUGAGAUGGGAAACCAUGAAAGACCCACACAGCUAUGUUGUGGAUUCUUAGGAACUCCCUGUACUGGAGGAGGCAGCGAAAGGGCAGCUCAAAAGGAAAACAAGACCAGCUUGGCAACCCCUGAGAAGCCUCUGUGCAUGUGGUCUUGUGUACACAAACAGACAUGAAGCCUGAGAGCAAAGCUGAGAAAUAUAAUCACUGUGGUUUCUG
rnacentral:lncRNA from 1 species